rnacentral:pre_miRNA from 1 species
UCUUAUGGAUGAGUAAAGAAAGUGGUUUCUUGAGAUGGGAAUCUACUCCUGGCAAAGAUGCUGUGAA